CCUACGGGGGGCAGCAGUGGGGAAUAUUGGGCAAUGGAGGCAACUCUGACCCAGCAAUGCCGCGUGAGUGAUGAAGGUAAUUUUAUUGUAAAGCUCUUUUCUUUGGAACGAAUAAAUGACGGUACCAAAGGAAUAAGCCCCGGCUAACUACGUGCCAGCAGCCGCGGUAAUACGUAGGGGGCAAGCGUUAUCCGGAUUUACUGGGUGUAAAGGGAGCGUAGACGGUAUGGCAAGUCUGAAGUGAAAGCCCAGGGCUUAACCCUGGGACUGCUUUGGAAACUGUUAGACUAGAGUGCUGGAGAGGUAAGUGGAAUUCCUAGUGUAGCGGUGAAAUGCGUAGAUAUUAGGAGGAACACCAGUGGCGAAGGCGGCUUACUGGACAGUAACUGACGUUGAGGCUCGAAAGCGUGGGGAGCAAACAGGAUUAGAUACCCUUGUAGUC
rnacentral:rRNA from 1 species